rnacentral:ribozyme from 1 species
GCUUCCCAAGAAGAUGACCUCCGCGUGGUGGGAAGCGGGCAACGACAAAACAGUCGGCUGACAUCUUC